rnacentral:rRNA from 1 species
CCUACGGGGGGCUGCAGUAGGGAAUAUUGGGCAAUGGACGAAAGUCUGACCCAGCCAUGCCGCGUGCAGGAUGACUGCCCUAUGGGUUGUAAACUGCUUUUCUAUGGGAAGAAACACUCAUACGUGUAUGAACUUGACGGUACCAUAGGAAUAAGGAUCGGCUAACUCCGUGCCAGCAGCCGCGGUAAUACGGAGGAUCCAAGCGUCGUCGGGAUUAAAGGGGUCUAAAGGGUGCGAAGAAGUCAGAGGUGAAAUCUUGCGGCUCAACCGUAAAAUUGCCUUUGAAACUGGUAGUCUUGAGUUCGGUCGAGGUGGAUGGAAUGUGUCAUGUAGCGGUGAAAUGCUUAGAUAUGACCCAGAACACCAAUUGCGAAGGCAGUUCACUAGACCGAUACUGACGCUGAGGCACGAAAGCGUGGGGAGCGAACAGGAUUAGAUACCCCAGUAGUC